CAGCAGCGAGCGGCCAUUAUCCUUGGCGAGCUGCGUCGUCAGCCUGCGAUAAACGGCCUCCCUCCUUACAUAUUUAUACUAGUCACAGCGCUGAAAAAACACUGGUAGCUUUACCGUGUAUCAAAUGGAAUUGAAAGCAGGACAGUGUGCUAUACCCAAACCUAGCAGAUCAGAGCAAAGUAUAGUAAUAAUAAAAGAAGCUGAGAACAAAAAGCUUGUCAUAAAUGAAGCAUGCAGACUAAUGGGUACAUCUUUGGAGCUCUCGUGUAGACGAUAUGGUUCAAUCAUCUCUUCAAAGAAUUUCCAACUACAACAACAUGAAAGGUUUGCUAACUUAUUUCGUGAAGUCUAUUCUUUGUGGACUCAUUACAUAAAAUGUUCUCCAAUAAACAACAAAUUCAAAUGAAAUAUAUUUUCUUUACUGGAUAUAGAAAACAUAUAUGUGUACAGAAUGAAAGCUGAUGGUAAUUCUCUAACCAUUGAUGCCACUUUUAAGUUAUGCUUCAGAAAUACCCUAUGACACAGGCGUCCAACACACGGCCCACUGGACAUCAAGGUGUAGCCCGCAUGAGAUCUGCAGCGGUACCACCACCUCCAAUUGCCCUCGAUGAGAUAGACUGAAGCAUGUUCCGGGAGUAGGGAUAAAAAAAAACUAAAUCUUGUGGAAAGCCUUCCCAGAAAAAUGGAAGCUGUUACAGUUGCAAAGGUGGGACCAACUACAUAUUGAUGUCUUUUUAUUUAGAAUGCGAUGUCAUAAAAGUCUGUUGGUGUAAUGGCCAGGUCUCCAAAUACUUUUGUC